AUUGAACGCUGGCGGCAUGCCUUACACAUGCAGGUCGAACGGCAGCACGGGUGCUUGCACCUGGUGGCGAGUGGCGAACGGGUGAGUAAUAUAUCGGAACGUACCUUAUUGUGGGGGAUAACGCAGCGAAAGCUGUGCUAAUACCGCAUAAUCCCUUAGGGGGAAAGCGGGGGACCGUAAGGCCUCGCGCAAUUAGAGCGGCCGAUACCUGAUUAGCUAGUUGGUGAGGUAAAGGCUCACCAAGGCGACGAUCAGUAGCUGGUCUGAGAGGACGAUCAGCCACACUGGGACUGAGACACGGCCCAGACUCCUACAGGAGGCAGCAGUGGGGAAUUUUGGACAAUGGGGGCAACCCUGAUCCUGCAAUGCCGCGUGAGUGAAGAAGGCCUUCGGGUUGUAAAGCUCUUUUGUCAGGGAAGAAACAGCAGCUCUAACACAGUAUGCGAAUGACGGUACCUGAAGAAUAAGCACCGGCUAACUACGUGCCAGCCGCCGCAGUAA
rnacentral:rRNA from 1 species